rnacentral:lncRNA from 1 species
GGUCUUUCUGUGUGGCCUAGGCUGAUCUUGAUCUCGCAAUCCUCCUGCCUCAGCCUCUGCAGCAAAGCGUAAAGUUCUGAUGCAUGCAGUAGUGUGCAUGAACUCUGAGACAUCAUGCCAAGAGGAACAAGCCAUACGCAAAGGACCACGUAGUGUAUGGUUCCAUUUAUAGGAAAUGCCCAAACCGAGCAAAGCCAUGGGACAGAUAGGUGUUGAGUUGGCACCUAGUUAACGUGCUGGUGGUAUAACACGUGGAGAUACACAAGCUUUCGAUGGGACUUUACACAUGUACACACAGAAAAGGAGGAGAGAAAGCAGAAUUCUGUCUUCAAUUAGCUUGGUGGACAGACAGCCUGUGUGCUCCUUUCUGAGAGAUUCAGGUUAAAACUGGAGUCAGACCAUCUGUGUUCAAAUCCCAGCUGGGCUGCUCCUCACUUUGUACUUUUCCCAGGCUUGUUGUAUGGCUGAAAUGUGGCAGUGCCGGGAGAGGCCUGAGGAGGGCAGGACAUGUGAGUCCAGAGCCCCAGUGUGCUACAAGAGAACAGUGCUCAGUCAUCUACAGUAUCCAACCCCCUGCUGUGGGGGCAGCUCAGGCAGAGGUCUUUAUGCCUCUUUGCAAAUGGAACUCCCAGAUCUGGAAUGUGAACCUGCUUCAGGGAUGAGGAAGAUGGGGCUGUGCAACAGACUCGGGAGCCUGGCAGCUGGGCCUGUGUCCAGCACCGCUGUGUCCGCAGCCUGCCUGAAGUGAGAACCCACAGAGGCCCGCUGUGGCUCUGCACUCCUUCCUACUUCCUCUGGCAGAAAUGAAACGUUGGCAGAUGGAGCAGGAUGGAGGGAGGAGGUGAGGCACAGCAAGAUCAGGAGGCUGAGCUCUGUGCAUAAGGAGACAGAGCCGGGG